rnacentral:rRNA from 1 species
CCUUGGCAGCUUGCUGCCGGGGUGAGAGUGGCGAACGGGUGAGUAAUGCGUGACCGACCUGCCCCAUGCACCGGAAUAGCUCCUGGAAACGGGUGGUAAUGCCGGAUGUUCCACAUGAGCGCAUGCGAGUGUGGGAAAGGCUUUUUGCGGCAUGGGAUGGGGUCGCGUCCUAUCAGCUUGUUGGUGGGGUAACGGCCUACCAAGGCGUUGACGGGUAGCCGGCCUGAGAGGGCGACCGGCCACAUUGGGACUGAGAUACGGCCCAGACUCCUACGGGAGGCAGCAGUGGGGAAUAUUGCACAAUGGGCGCAAGCCUGAUGCAGCGACGCCGCGUGCGGGAUGGAGGCCUUCGGGUUGUAAACCGCUUUUGUUCAAGGGCAAGGCACGGUUUCGGCCGUGUUGAGUGGAUUGUUCGAAUAAGCACCGGCUAACUACGUGCCAGCAGCCGCGGUAAUACGUAGGGUGCAAGCGUUAUCCGGAUUUAUUGGGCGUAAAGGGCUCGUAGGCGGUUCGUCGCGUCCGGUGUGAAAGUCCAUCGCUUAACGGUGGAUCCGCGCCGGGUACGGGCGGGCUUGAGUGCGGUAGGGGAGACUGGAAUUCCCGGUGUAACGGUGGAAUGUGUAGAUAUCGGGAAGAACACCAAUGGCGAAGGCAGGUCUCUGGGCCGUUACUGACGCUGAGG